UACGUAGGGGGCUAGCGUUGUCCGGAAUCAUUGGGCGUAAAGCGCGCGUAGGCGGUCAGGAAAGUCCGGUGUGAAAGUCAUAGGCUCAACCUAUGGAUGCCGCUGGAAACUGCCUGACUUGAGUCCGGAAGGGGCGAGUGGAAUUCCUGGUGUAGCGGUGAAAUGCGCAGAUAUCAGGAGGAACACCAAUGGCGAAGGCAGCUCGCUGGAACGGUACUGACGCUGAGGCGCGAAGGCGUGGGGAGCGAACAGG
rnacentral:rRNA from 1 species